AUAAGCAAAGAUAAAAUCGUGACUUUGGGUCUCUGUUAAGGUACACAAAGGGAAUCGAUUUCCAAGAAUUUUGUUCCUUUCCAUUAAUUCUCUAACACUAUCUCUUCUUGCUAAGAGACUAGCCAAUAAUUUGCCUCUUCAGAGCCCAUUGCUGGAUUCAAAAUUAAGGAGACGUGUGUGAACGAAACUGGCACUUAGUGACAUGUCUGUUUGUCGUCGACGGAGAACAGAACACGCUCGAACUGUCAUCCAUAGAUGGGCAGCCACAUGUACGUUUAGAGAGCAAUAAAGCCUUGUUAAUGCUACGGGACAUGGUCCAGCUACUGAUGCAUUGCACGAAGAUAGCUAGCUACUACCGUCCUCGUGCCUUAUCUCAUGAUCUUUUGCCA
rnacentral:lncRNA from 1 species